AAUUUUGGCCAAUGGGGGAAAGCCUGAAUCAGCAACACCGCGGGGAGGAAGAAGAGCCUCUGGGUGGUAAAGCACUGUAAGCGGGGAAGGAGAAAACGUGGCUUAAUAACAGCGGGAUAUUGACGGUACCUCCAGAAGGAAGCCCCGGCUAACUCCGUGCCAGCAGCCGCGGUAAUACGGAGGGGGCAAGCGUUUUUUGGAAUUAUUGGGCGUAAAGGGCGCGUAGGCGGCCCUAUAAGUCAGAGGUGAAAUCCCUCGGCUCAACCCGGGAAAUGCCUUUGAUACUGCGUGGCUUGAGUCCGGGAGAGGGAAGCGGAAUUCCCAGUGUAGCGGUGAAAUGCGUAGAUAUUGGGAGGAACACCGGUGGCGAAGGCGGCUUCCUGGACCGGUACUGACGCUGAGGCGCGAAAGCGUGGGUAGCAAACAGGAUUAGAUACCCCGGUAGUCCACGCCGUAAACGAUGGGUGCUGUUGGGGUUCGAACUUCAUCGGACAACGCGUAACAUCCGC
rnacentral:rRNA from 1 species